UUGACCUCAAAUCGGGUGAGACUACCCGCUGAACUUAAGCAUAUCAAUAAGCGG
rnacentral:rRNA from 6 species